AAGGUCUGAUGGAGCAACGCCGCGUGAGUGAAGAAGGUUUUCGGAUCGUAAAACUCUGUUGUUGGAGAAGAACGUAUUUGAUAGUAACUGAUCAGGUAGUGACGGUAUCCAACCAGAAAGCCACGGCUAACUACGUGCCAGCAGCCGCGGUAAUACGUAGGUGGCAAGCGUUGUCCGGAUUUAUUGGGCGUAAAGCGAGCGCAGGCGGUUUCUUAAGUCUGAUGUGAAAGCCUUCGGCUCAACCGAAGAAGUGCAUCGGAAACUGGGAAACUUGAGUGCAGAAGAGGACAGUGGAACUCCAUGUGUAGCGGUGAAAUGCGUAGAUAUAUGGAAGAACACCAGUGGCGAAGGCGGCUGUCUGGUCUGUAACUGACGCUGAGGCUCGAAAGCAUGGGUAGCAAACAGGAUUAGAUACCCUGGUAGUCCAUGCCGUAAACGAUGAGUGCUAGGUGUUGGAGGGUUUCCGCCCUUCAGUGCCGCAGCUAACGCAUUAAGCACUCCGCCUGGGGAGUACGACCGCAAGGUUGAAACUCAAAGGAAUUGACGGGGGCCC
rnacentral:rRNA from 1 species